rnacentral:rRNA from 1 species
CCUACGGGAGGCAGCAGUGGGGAAUAUUGGACAAUGGGCGGAAGCCUGAUCCAGCAACGCCGCGUGAGGGAUGACGGCCUUCGGGUUGUAAACCUCUUUCAGCACAGACGAAGCGCAAGUGACGGUAUGUGCAGAAGAAGGACCGGCCAACUACGUGCCAGCAGCCGCGGUAAUACGUAGGGUCCGAGCGUUGUCCGGAAUUAUUGGGCGUAAAGGGCUCGUAGGCGGUUUGUCGCGUCGGGAGUGAAAACACCGGGCUUAACUCGGUGCUUGCUUUCGAUACGGGCAGACUAGAGGCAUUCAGGGGAGAACGGAAUUCCUGGUGUAGCGGUGAAAUGCGCAGAUAUCAGGAGGAACACCGGUGGCGAAGGCGGUUCUCUGGGAAUGUCCUGACGCUGAGGAGCGAAAGUGUGGGGAGCGAACAGGAUUAGAUACCCUGGUAGUCCACACCGUAAACGUUGGGCGCUAGGUGUGGGGUCCAUUCCACGGAUUCCGUGCCGCNGCUACGCAUAGCGCCCGCCGUCGGGAGGUACGGCCGCGAGGACGUAAACCGUACGAAAGGAAGUUAGACGGCGUGAGACGUUGUCCGAACGGACGACGACGAGGGAGGUAGG